rnacentral:lncRNA from 1 species
AAAAUCAUAAUAAAGCAGGCAGAUGAUAAUCACAUCAGUUUUUUAAACAAUGACACCAUAUGUAUUUUUUUCCCCCUUCUCCUUGCACGCGUUUUUCUCUACAAUAUUAUCUACUUUAAAUAUAAUGUACAUAGUACAUAGAUGUAAGGUAAAUCAUUUUAAUCUUGUUAUUACUAUUUUUCUUCCCAUUGGCGCUCAGUUCCAAAAAAAUGUCAGAAUUUGAGGAUGUGCGCAAUACUCAUUGUAGUAAAGUUUUGGAUCAUUUUACCGAAAAUUGAAAAACCCAACCGGGUAAAUCCAAUCAUUGAGGCAAACUUAUAAAGGCUCAAAUACAACCGGACUUCAUGAACACGUAAAGAGAAAACAUAAAAGCAACAUAGAUGAAGUUGAAACAUCUCAGAAGAAACCUAAAAUAAUUGGAAACAAUUUCAAGAUAAUAACAAAUCCUAAAAAAGAUCCUCAUGAAAAAAUUGGUAUGGUGUGUUCCUAUGAUAAUAUGUUGUACUGGUUAUAGUGAAACUUUGACAUUUGUAUUCAGGACACCUUGUUAUAAUCUACGUAAGUGCUACUAUGAAAUUAGAAAAAAAUGUUAUUGAGCAGUCCAAAAACGUCAUCAAUUCCAUCAAAAAAGACAUUUUAGGGGUAAUAAAAUUGAAGCAAAAGUGUUUAAUAUCAUUGGACUAAUACAAAAGUAUCCGAAAUGGGCGUUACAUGAAUAUAAAUUUUCAUCUAGGAGAAGGAAAACACUUCAAUCUAGGGAUUGUGAACGUUUAUGGUUCCAUGGUAGCUACUAUGGUAGUUGGUACUGUUACUGAACAUUUUAUAAUGUUUGGAAUUAAUUUGGAUUUUGAUGUCAUUGAUAAAUUUGGAUAGCUAAUUAAACCUAUUAGCAUGAAAUACAUUAUUUAUGGAACCUUUUUUGGCUUUUACCAAAGUCUGUUUGAAAAAAAAAUGCCAACCUUUUCUAAAAUAUUCUAUGAGAGUAGAUGAUUGAUGAAAAUAAGACUUAUUUUGACGAAGAAGAAGAGGAUGGCAAUAAACAGUUGAAUAUUGAGACCAAAAAUAUAUAGAAAAAAACAAAAUUACUAAAUUUUGAACAAAUGUUAAGGCCGUUUUGAAUAAAGGUAUAAAAAUUUGCAAACUUUUCUAUGAGAGGCCCGUAAAAAGGACGAAAAUUUACAAAAGCAAAUAGUGUUGAGUAUUAAAAAGGAGCUCAACCUUCUUUUAGAUCAAAAUACUCAUUGGAAUUCAUCUGUGGUAAUGAUAGGGGCUUCCCUGGAGGUGAAAGAAGCCUUAGAAAUUGGAAUGAUUGAAAUAGAAAUAAAGUUUGAUUUUGCUCCAGAAAAAAA